GUCGACGGUGCGCGACGUAAUGCCGGCGGCGCGGCUUCAGCCGCGUGUUCCGCGUAAGCGGCCCGGGACGGCCUAAGCCUUGCAAUUCCAAAGCUCCCCACCGUCGACAUCGUCCUCCCGCCGCGCUGCCACAUUACCAUAUCCCCACUGUUAGAUCGCCCGCCCUCCGAUCGUAUGCACUCUGGUUUUCUGACCAGUGUUCGCGUUUUUGUAUUUCUCCGGUUAUUUAUAUACAUAUGUAUAUGUGCACAGCCUACUUUUUCACGUGGAAAGUUUUUCGCCAACUUCCGACAAAUCUGUCAUACUGUUUAAGUACUGGAAAGUUGCAUCAGUCGUGGGAAAUGAUUAUAUCGAUUGGUAAAUGAUUGGUCGAUGAUUUGAUCGAAUGAUAGGUUGGAGAAUAAAUUUAAAAAAAACAAUGAAAAGGGAGAUUUUUCUAUACAGAUUAACAUCUGAUGAAAAUUAAUCAUAGAAGAAGAUUGGUUAGCAAGGCCCAAGUAGCAAUCCAAUGUACCAGCAAGGCGUACCAACAAGUGUCUGUGUGACGUCAUGCGGCUUUCUGGAGGCGGAGCCUGUGAUUGGGGAAGCAGGUGGGGGCGUUUUCACUCUCCCGCAUCGUGGAUCGCUUGCCCCACCUUCGGGAUUUUGUUCCUUCGUACCACCGCCACCUUCAACCUUCCUCCUUUUUCGCCUCCGUGGCCUUUUUUCUUUUUUGAACUUUGUUCGGUGACCUCCCACCAGUCUGUACUUCACCAGUACAAGAACAUCAAAAUUCCAGAAAAUUAUCAAACAAGCUGUAAUCAAGUAGCUGUUGCCUCGAGUAGCCUCUGUAAUCAAUCGAUGAAGUCAAACGAUCAAGCUCGACGCAUCGAUAUGGAGAUAUUUGAUGUGCAAGUUUGUAGAAGCUGCGUAAAUUGAACUAAAUUUGAUACUUGAAGACAGUAAGAAGAUAGAAAUUAAUUAGACAGAGAGGAAAUAACGCAAAGGAAAGUGAUAAUUAUAGGUAUGACAAGCCGAGAUCUCGAAUUCUGCCGUAUAAAACGAAUGAAGGGAUAGAGCAAGGCACACACACGUACCAUUAUCUUCUACCCUUGUGCCCCUUCUGGCUAGCCAUACUUUCCACGACCACCGACGUAGAUAUGUACGUCCACCCUUGUAUAGUCCGUUAAUAAGCUUAAUAAACCUCCUGUGCGACUA